AAAAGAUAGAAAACUCAUCUUCUAUUACUUUUUCUCUUCUCUUAAUCUUCUUCUAUUCCUUUUACUUUCUUUUUUGAAAAUCUAAUUUCCCCCUCUUUUCAUUUUUCAAUUUCAAUUCACAACUGGUUUCCAUCUUCUCUUUCUUCCAUUUAGUUUUUCAUGUCUCUCCAAUUUCAGAUCUCAUCAACCUUGAUCUUUCUGGCAUCUCCAAGAAACUCAUUGAUGAAUACGAUUGGUAGUUCAGAUUUUGGAAUGAAAUUUUUUACUUACCCUUCAAAGCUUUCCAAAUAGAACAGGAUAAGCUCUUGGACAAGAACAAGAAAGUGAAGUUAUUUUAUAUCUACAAGCCAUUUUUAAAGAUCCAUUUAGAAGACUGGGUUUUAGAGAUGAGAAAGAGUUGUGUUGUCAUUUUGGGAGAAAACAAGAUUUGAAGAGAAAGAGGCAAGACUAUGGAGAAGAAGAAGGGACUUGAAGAUUUUCAUCCAUGGUGUCAAUUAAAGAUGCAAUUAGAGACCCAUUGAGUGCUUCCAUUGAAUAAGGUAAGGGUGGGGUUCUCUUUCUAUAAUGGGGCUUAUGAAAUAUUGUAUGGGGGAUUGGAUGUGUAGAUUAUUACUUUUGCUUGUUUAAAUCGUUGCUAGAAAACCAAAUAUUGUAUGAAUUUGGGUUGUUGUCUUGAAAUCUAUUAUUGUUGCUGUUUGAAAUUUGCCGUCGGUAUCUUUAGAAAUUAACACGGUGUUGAUAUUAUGCGAAACAAGUCAUAACGGACGGUAUUGAAAUCUCAUGACGUGCAGCAUUGUUCAAUGGGAGAGGGGUUGCCGAGCGACCCCAUUAGGCUACAUCGUUUGAUGCAAUUCUCAACAUAUGGGUGUUGCAUAAUAUUUUCUUGUUGUGCACUGUUUCUUCUGUUUUUCUUUUGUUUCAUUGUUCAUCAUAAUACUUUAUUAUUAACAUAUAUAUAUAAUAUUUACAUAAUGGUAUAAACUUGACAUGAGAUAUACCACUUAUGCAUACCAUUUCCGUUUUGUGCCAUUCCAUUGCGUGUUGCAAUGCUAUUUACGUUUCUGUUUUUGUAAUUGUGUUCCAUUGUUUAUUUUUUUAUGUUUCCUACUGUUAAUUGAGAUAAAUAUAUAUAGAAUGGUAUGAUACAAAGAAAAUGAAUUUAAUUAUGAAAUAGCAUAGGUUAGAAACAUUGAGAUAAAAUAUAUAUAGAAUGGUAUGAUAUAAGGAAAAUGAAUUUAAUUAGGAAAUCAUAUAUGUUAGAAACAGUAAGUAACAGUUAUUUAUAGGACUAAUAAAAUAUAAAACAGUCUCGUUUGAUUGAAAUAGCCGAAUUAAGCGGUAUAAUUAGUUGCCCGAAAUUUGAUGAAAAUUGACGUGGUAGCUAAGUUUAAUUAGUAGAUUAACAUGGUGGUGUUAUUUUGUUGAAAUUGUGAUAUUUUACGAAUCUACUGAAAUUGUGUUUGAUUUAAAUAUUCUUUAUAAAUAAAUUAUAAUAAUUUAAUAGAAUUGUCAAUAGAGUUGUUAGAGUUGUCAAUAGAGUUGUUAGAGUCGACAAUAAGUUGUCAGAGUUGUUUUGAAUUAUUAAGAGUCAUAUUUUUAUUUGUUUUGAGUAAUUCUGACAUGUUUAGAGUUGUCAGUGUAUAACGUCGGUGUUUGUUUUUUUAUUGGAACUUUAACAAUUCAUAUCUUUUGAACCGUAACUCCGUUUGAGUCUCCGUUCGAGGCGUUAGAAAGCUAGCGUGAUAUUCUUUUUAAUAAAAAUGGUCUUGAGCAAUAGAAUGCUAGAAAAUUGGAAAUGGAGUAGAAAUAGAAGUGAAUUAAAUUAAUAUAGUGUGAUUAUUAAUCGGUUGAUUAAAUUAAUAGUUGAGUUAAUUUCAAUGUGUUUAAUUGAUUAGAAUACAAUUUGGAAUUAGAUCAACUAUUUGGUUUGUCGGUAAAUUACGAUAUUUUGAGAAUUUAUCCGUAAUUGUGUUUUGACUUGAAUAUGUAUGUUGAGAAAUAUAUAUUAUUAUGUCAAUGAUGUUGUUUUGAUAUUGAUUCUCUGUGGGUAGUUGGAUAGCAUUAAUUUUAAUGAUUAAUUGCUUGAUUUUAAAUGUGUAUGUUCAUAUAUAAUUGGCAAAAUGAGAAUUAACAUGAGAUAGUACGGUUACUAGUGUUAAUUGGAUUUUGUGAAUCGUAAUUGAUUAAUUGGCCUUUUAUAUGUGAAUCAUAUGUAUGUGUUGUGAAUGUUGUGUACAAUUGGUGGAUAAUUCAUCGAGUUGAAUUAUUGUGAUAUGCUAAAUAUUAAGAUGGUAGAGAUGAUCUUAAUUGCAUAUGUUUGUCAACAUUGUACAUGCAUUCAUGUCAUGGUGUGCCUUGAAACAAAGGUGGUUUGCUUUGAAACAAAAGCGGGGCUUGAAUUCUAGAGUGAAUUCGGAAAGCGGUAAACUAUAUGUUUAUAUUUGGUGGCUUUGAUCUUGUCCGGAUCUGAAGCGUGGCUAGAUUCUAUAUGAAUCGGAAGCGGUGGAACUUUGGGUCCACAUUGGGUACCACAUGCAUAGAGUCACAUGUCUUGCAUUGAGUCACAUUGAGAUUAUGCGAUGUUUGAAUAUAUGCAUUUAUGUGAUUGUUAUAUGUACAUGAGAGGUGAUAAUUGAAAUUGGUGAUGUUUUGAUACAUAAUUGGUUAAAUGUGUGAGUAUGUGAUAAUGAUGGAUGGUGUAUAUAUUUGGGAUAAUAGUAUUGAAUCUUUUGAGUAUCAUACUAUUGAAUUUUGUGCAUACUUGAAUAUGUGAAAUUUAUUGGAUGAUACUAUUUAUAUGAUUAUGACUUGUUGUGUCAUGAAAAGUAUGUGAGACUAAUGAAGAGUAGAAGUAUGAUGUGUAUAGUAGCUAUUGAUACUUGCAAUGUGAUAAUCUUAUAUAUCUGAAUCCUAGCAUGCACUUUAUCAUACGCCCACUUAUAUGAUUUGAUAUCUCACCCUUUUCUCUUGUUUCGCCGUUGCCUUUAUAUUGGCAACGUGCAGGUAUUCAAGUAUGAAGAUUUAGUUGCCGUUACUCGAGUCGGUCGUCGCUCUGAUACGUAGCACUCUAGGGGGAACGAUUUAUGUCAUUCAUGAUGUUGUUGUUUAAUUGUGUUAUCUUGGUUGAACAAAAUGAUAAGUUAACUGAAGAUAUUUUAUUGAAUACUUGUUUAAGUGAUUACGCUGUGUUUUAAUAAAAUAAGUUAUUCUGUUUCAAAGGUGCUAUGUAUCCGCUUUAUGCGACGAGUUGAUUUGUUUUGUUUUAUUAUGUGACGCCUCAUUUGUUUAUUGGAAAAUUUGGAAAACUCUGAUUUAUAUAUAUUUUUCGGGUAGAAAUGGGGUGUUACAAUAGUGGUAUCAGAGCAGGUCGGUCCGUCCGGCCAAGUUGUCGAGUCUAUUGAGUUGUGCGACAGUUGAAUGUUGUCUGUGUUUUAGUCUUUAGUACAUGACACAUGUGUGAAACACUGUCCGUACUUGUUUGUUUUGUUGUAGGAAGUGGUUUGUUUCCAAGUGGGGGAGAAGUUUUGCUUCUCGAAGAUGUUUCUGUUGUGAGAGAUGGUCCGGUAUGCUGUCGACAAGCGACAAAUACAAGUGUUGUUGAGAAUUUUGGAUGUUACCUAGAUUCGAAGGCGAUGUAAAGUUAAGAAUAAUUUUGGAAGAAGGAAUUUAGAAAGUGGCGAUGUUCAGCACGGUUGAGGACCGUGAAGUUAUCGGUGCGUUUAACCUUUGCGUCUGAUGUCAGUGUUUGACAAGUGUUAAAGUGAUAAAGUUGCGGUAGACUUUAUGUUAGACUCGCAAAAGUGAUUAACGGACGUAGUCGAUGUGUGAAGUGGUGUGAAUCGCGAACCCGAGUGGGAACUCGAGAAUGCGUGUAGCUUGAGUUUCGGAUAUCUGAUUUGAACUCUGUUUGAAGCGUCAGAAAGAUAACGAGAUGAAGUGUAUUAUAAGAAUUAUUGCCGCAGCCGUAAUAGAUUUGAUUUUGAUGUGAUGAUGUUGAGAUGGGAUGCAGUUUAUCGUCGAAGUUAUUUGAGGAGUUUAGGAGAUAACGUAAAAAUUGUCGAUGCUUGACGUCGAUGUUUACAAUUCGGAUAACCCCAGAGUUUUGUAGCUUGGGUUUCGAGUAUCAGUUGGACGUACCGUUUGAGCCUACGAAGAGGUGAAGUUGUAUUCUACCAUAUGGAAAUGUGUAAGCCUGUUGAAUAAGAAUGGUUAUUACCGCAAAUGUAUGAAGCGAAGUUAAGCAAAACUUGUUGUUUAUGAUUAAGAUGAGAGAACGAGAUAUUUGGUAUCAAAGAUGAUUUGAGUACUUAUGACUUUUAAGGAAGAGUGAAGUAGUAGUGAAGAAAAAUUCAGACUUAGGGAUGAUAGAAGUUGUAUUUGGGAUGCCAAAAGUGGCGGUGUGUACAAAAGAAUGACUGCAUGGAAUUUCUAUCGCCAGUUUAUCGUGAGGAGGACUUCGGUUGAGACGAAACGAAUUGUGUGAUGCUAAGUGAUUAUGAAUUAGACUUUUUUAUUAUGUUUGGACGUCGGUGUCUCAUUGACAAGAUCGAUUGAUAAGGUAAGAUCUUGUAGGAAUUGUAAAAACCUAAAGUGAAUCAUUGGAUUACGUCGUGUUAAUGGAUUUAAGUGGAAAUUCGGAAAGGACGUUAUUUUGAUGUAACAACGAUUUAUACUCCACUAAGGUUGUCGGAUACUAAUUGGCAAAUUGGGGAACUGAUCACCCUCAAUCUAUUGCUAAUGGUAGACGAAACUCGUGUUGGACGUUAUAGAUUUGUCUUGUUGUCUUAAUAGUGUAGAAAGAGUCUAUAUUUUAUCGUGAAGAUAGUCGCCCAUCAAUUUGUGUAGCUUGGUAAGAAGGAUGGUUGAGUUAGAAUUAGAUGGGAUUAACAAUCGUUGUGGUACGUUUUAUGCAAGCGAGUGUCGCAAAGUGAAAGAUUGGAAAUAUCAAGUAAAUAACGAUGUGAGGAUGAGUAUUGAAGAAAGUUUGUAUUGGAUCGAGAAUUUGUGAACCAUAUAAGUAGACAGGAUUUUAUCGAGAAUGGUGACUUAAAAGAGAAUUAUCAGAGUUGAUCAGCGGAAGCCUUAGGUGACAUUGUUGUUGUAAGGCUUGAGGGAGUAAGAAACUAUAUGCCAGAGGUCGGUAAAGAUGAGUUAUCUUGAUAUUUGGAUUGACGGACUGUUGGAAUAAGUGUGAUGCGCCAGAAUACUGCAUUGAAUCGUUGAUUAUUGCAAAACUGGUAAGAACUGUAAUGUGUUAGUGUUCAUGAGAAUCGUUGUUGUGACGAAGAGGUAGUGAUCGAAGUGUUACCAAGCACGAUUUGGAGAUUUGAGAUUUGGAUACGAGGUUUGUGUUUGGAUGAUGUUGAGCGAAUUUUCGAGGACGAAAAUAUUCUAAGUGGGGGAGAGUUGUAACACCCCGAAUUUAAUUAAAUUGGUUAAUUAAAUUAUUGAAGGAUUUAAAUACUUGAUUUAGUCGAAUUUGGAUUGUCGGUGUUAUUUAAGGGCGUAUUUGGAAUUAUAUAAAUUGAAGUCGAAUAGUCGGAAAAUAAUAUUGAGAAUAAUAUUAUUUAUAAGUCGGAAUUAUUAUAUUGAAGGAAUUAUUAUUAUAAGUGAUAUAAUUGAUUAUUUGAGUUAUAUCUCUUAUUGGGCCUAAAUUGAUUUUGGAGGAUAUUAAAUAAAGAGAGGAUUUAAACACUAAGCCCAAUUAGUUUUAUAUUAGGGUUUUAGAGAUGAGAAAGAGUUGUGUUGUCAUUUUGGGAGAAAACAAGAUUUGAAGAGAAAGAGGCAAGACUAUGGAGAAGAAGAAGGGACUUGAAGAUUUUCAUCCAUGGUGUCAAUUAAAGAUGCAAUUAGAGACCCAUUGAGUGCUUCCAUUGAAUAAGGUAAGGGUGGGGUUCUCUUUCUAUAAUGGGGCUUAUGAAAUAUUGUAUGGGGGGAUUGGAUGUGUAGAUUAUUACUUUUGCUUGUUUAAAUCGUUGCUAGAAAACCAAAUAUUGUAUGAAUUUGGGUUGCUGUCUUGAAAUCUAUUAUUGUUGCUGUUUGAAAUUUGCCGUCGGUAUCUUUAGAAAUUAACACGGUGUUGAUAUUAUGCGAAACAAGUCAUAACGGACGGUAUUGAAAUCUCAUGACGUGCAGCAUUGUUCAAUGGGAGAGGGGUUGCCGAGCGACCCCAUUAGGCUACAUCGUUUGAUGCAAUUCUCAACAUAUGGGUGUUGCAUAAUAUUUUCUUGUUGUGCACUUUUUCUUCUGUUUUUCUUUUGUUUCAUUGUUCAUCAUAAUACUUUAUUAUUAACAUAUAUAUAUAAUAUUUACAUAAUGGUAUAAACUUGACAUGAGAUAUACCACUUAUGCAUACCAUUUCCGUUUUGUGCCAUUCCAUUGCGUGUUGCAAUGCUAUUUACGUUUCUGUUUUUGUAAUUGUGUUCCAUUGUUUAUUUUUUUAUGUUUCCUACUGUUAAUUGAGAUAAAUAUAUAUAGAAUGGUAUGAUACAAAGAAAAUGAAUUUAAUUAUGAAAUAGCAUAGGUUAGAAACAUUGAGAUAAAAUAUAUAUAGAAUGGUAUGAUAUAAGGAAAAUGAAUUUAAUUAGGAAAUCAUAUAUGUUAGAAACAGUAAGUAACAGUUAUUUAUAGGACUAAUAAAAUAUAAAACAGUCUCGUUUGAUUGAAAUAGCCGAAUUAAGCGGUAUAAUUAGUUGCCCGAAAUUUGAUGAAAAUUGACGUGGUAGCUAAGUUUAAUUAGUAGAUUAACAUGGUGGUGUUAUUUUGUUGAAAUUAUGAUAUUUUACGAAUCUACUGAAAUUGUGUUUGAUUUAAAUAUUCUUUAUAAAUAAAUUAUAAUAAUUUAAUAGAAUUGUCAAUAGAGUUGUUAGAGUUGUCAAUAGAGUUGUUAGAGUCGACAAUAAGUUGUCAGAGUUGUUUUGAAUUAUUAAGAGUCAUAUUUUUAUUUGUUUUGAGUAAUUCUGACAUGUUUAGAGUUGUCAGUGUAUAACGUCGGUGUUUGUUUUUUUAUUGGAACUUUAACAAUUCAUAUCUUUUGAACCGUAACUCCGUUUGAGUCUCCGUUCGAGGCGUUAGAAAGCUAGCGUGAUAUUCUUUUUAAUAAAAAUGGUCUUGAGCAAUAGAAUGCUAGAAAAUUGGAAAUGGAGUAGAAAUAGAAGUGAAUUAAAUUAAUAUAGUGUGAUUAUUAAUCGGUUGAUUAAAUUAAUAGUUGAGUUAAUUUCAAUGUGUUUAAUUGAUUAGAAUACAAUUUGGAAUUAGAUCAACUAUUUGGUUUGUCGGUAAAUUACGAUAUUUUGAGAAUUUAUCCGUAAUUGUGUUUUGACUUGAAUAUGUAUGUUGAGAAAUAUAUAUUAUUAUGUCAAUGAUGUUGUUUUGAUAUUGAUUCUCUGUGGGUAGUUGGAUAGCAUUAAUUUUAAUGAUUAAUUGCUUGAUUUUAAAUGUGUAUGUUCAUAUAUAAUUGGCAAAAUGAGAAUUAACAUGAGAUAGUACGGUUACUAGUGUUAAUUGGAUUUUGUGAAUCGUAAUUGAUUAAUUGGCCUUUUAUAUGUGAAUCAUAUGUAUGUGUUGUGAAUGUUGUGUACAAUUGGUGGAUAAUUCAUCGAGUUGAAUUAUUGUGAUAUGCUAAAUAUUAAGAUGGUAGAGAUGAUCUUAAUUGCAUAUGUUUGUCAACAUUGUACAUGCAUUCAUGUCAUGGUGUGCCUUGAAACAAAGGUGGUUUGCUUUGAAACAAAAGCGGGGCUUGAAUUCUAGAGUGAAUUCGGAAAGCGGUAAACUAUAUGUUUAUAUUUGGUGGCUUUGAUCUUGUCCGGAUCUGAAGCGUGGCUAGAUUCUAUAUGAAUCGGAAGCGGUGGAACUUUGGGUCCACAUUGGGUACCACAUGCAUAGAGUCACAUGUCUUGCAUUGAGUCACAUUGAGAUUAUGCGAUGUUUGAAUAUAUGCAUUUAUGUGAUUGUUAUAUGUACAUGAGAGGUGAUAAUUGAAAUUGGUGAUGUUUUGAUACAUAAUUGGUUAAAUGUGUGAGUAUGUGAUAAUGAUGGAUGGUGUAUAUAUUUGGGAUAAUAGUAUUGAAUCUUUUGAGUAUCAUACUAUUGAAUUUUGUGCAUACUUGAAUAUGUGAAAUUUAUUGGAUGAUACUAUUUAUAUGAUUAUGACUUGUUGUGUCAUGAAAAGUAUGUGAGACUAAUGAAGAGUAGAAGUAUGAUGUGUAUAGUAGCUAUUGAUACUUGCAAUGUGAUAAUCUUAUAUAUCUGAAUCCUAGCAUGCACUUUAUCAUACGCCCACUUAUAUGAUUUGAUAUCUCACCCUUUUCUCUUGUUUCGCCGUUGCCUUUAUAUUGGCAACGUGCAGGUAUUCAAGUAUGAAGAUUUAGUUGCCGUUACUCGAGUCGGUCGUCGCUCUGAUACGUAGCACUCUAGGGGGAACGAUUUAUGUCAUUCAUGAUGUUGUUGUUUAAUUGUGUUAUCUUGGUUGAACAAAAUGAUAAGUUAACUGAAGAUAUUUUAUUGAAUACUUGUUUAAGUGAUUACGCUGUGUUUUAAUAAAAUAAGUUAUUCUGUUUCAAAGGUGCUAUGUAUCCGCUUUAUGCGACGAGUUGAUUUGUUUUGUUUUAUUAUGUGACGCCUCAUUUGUUUAUUGGAAAAUUUGGAAAACUCUGAUUUAUAUAUAUUUUUCGGGUAGAAAUGGGGUGUUACAAUAGUGGUAUCAGAGCAGGUCGGUCCGUCCGGCCAAGUUGUCGAGUCUAUUGAGUUGUGCGACAGUUGAAUGUUGUCUGUGUUUUAGUCUUUAGUACAUGACACAUGUGUGAAACACUGUCCGUACUUGUUUGUUUUGUUGUAGGAAGUGGUUUGUUUCCAAGUGGGGGAGAAGUUUUGCUUCUCGAAGAUGUUUCUGUUGUGAGAGAUGGUCCGGUAUGCUGUCGACAAGCGACAAAUACAAGUGUUGUUGAGAAUUUUGGAUGUUACCUAGAUUCGAAGGCGAUGUAAAGUUAAGAAUAAUUUUGGAAGAAGGAAUUUAGAAAGUGGCGAUGUUCAGCACGGUUGAGGACCGUGAAGUUAUCGGUGCGUUUAACCUUUGCGUCUGAUGUCAGUGUUUGACAAGUGUUAAAGUGAUAAAGUUGCGGUAGACUUUAUGUUAGACUCGCAAAAGUGAUUAACGGACGUAGUCGAUGUGUGAAGUGGUGUGAAUCGCGAACCCGAGUGGGAACUCGAGAAUGCGUGUAGCUUGAGUUUCGGAUAUCUGAUUUGAACUCUGUUUGAAGCGUCAGAAAGAUAACGAGAUGAAGUGUAUUAUAAGAAUUAUUGCCGCAGCCGUAAUAGAUUUGAUUUUGAUGUGAUGAUGUUGAGAUGGGAUGCAGUUUAUCGUCGAAGUUAUUUAAGGAGUUUAGGAGAUAACGUAAAAAUUGUCGAUGCUUGACGUCGAUGUUUACAAUUCGGAUAACCCCAGAGUUUUGUAGCUUGGGUUUCGAGUAUCAGUUGGACGUACCGUUUGAGCCUACGAAGAGGUGAAGUUGUAUUCUACCAUAUGGAAAUGUGUAAGCCUGUUGAAUAAGAAUGGUUAUUACCGCAAAUGUAUGAAGCGAAGUUAAGCAAAACUUGUUGUUUAUGAUUAAGAUGAGAGAACGAGAUAUUUGGUAUCAAAGAUGAUUUGAGUACUUAUGACUUUUAAGGAAGAGUGAAGUAGUAGUGAAGAAAAAUUCAGACUUAGGGAUGAUAGAAGUUGUAUUUGGGAUGCCAAAAGUGGCGGUGUGUACAAAAGAAUGACUGCAUGGAAUUUCUAUCGCCAGUUUAUCGUGAGGAGGACUUCGGUUGAGACGAAACGAAUUGUGUGAUGCUAAGUGAUUAUGAAUUAGACUUUUUUAUUAUGUUUGGACGUCGGUGUCUCAUUGACAAGAUCGAUUGAUAAGGUAAGAUCUUGUAGGAAUUGUAAAAACCUAAAGUGAAUCAUUGGAUUACGUCGUGUUAAUGGAUUUAAGUGGAAAUUCGGAAAGGACGUUAUUUUGAUGUAACAACGAUUUAUACUCCACUAAGGUUGUCGGAUACUAAUUGGCAAAUUGGGGAACUGAUCACCCUCAAUCUAUUGCUAAUGGUAGACGAAACUCGUGUUGGACGUUAUAGAUUUGUCUUGUUGUCUUAAUAGUGUAGAAAGAGUCUAUAUUUUAUCGUGAAGAUAGUCGCCCAUCAAUUUGUGUAGCUUGGUAAGAAGGAUGGUUGAGUUAGAAUUAGAUGGGAUUAACAAUCGUUGUGGUACGUUUUAUGCAAGCGAGUGUCGCAAAGUGAAAGAUUGGAAAUAUCAAGUAAAUAACGAUGUGAGGAUGAGUAUUGAAGAAAGUUUGUAUUGGAUCGAGAAUUUGUGAACCAUAUAAGUAGACAGGAUUUUAUCGAGAAUGGUGACUUAAAAGAGAAUUAUCAGAGUUGAUCAGCGGAAGCCUUAGGUGACAUUGUUGUUGUAAGGCUUGAGGGAGUAAGAAACUAUAUGCCAGAGGUCGGUAAAGAUGAGUUAUCUUGAUAUUUGGAUUGACGGACUGUUGGAAUAAGUGUGAUGCGCCAGAAUACUGCAUUGAAUCGUUGAUUAUUGCAAAACUGGUAAGAACUGUAAUGUGUUAGUGUUCAUGAGAAUCGUUGUUGUGACGAAGAGGUAGUGAUCGAAGUGUUACCAAGCACGAUUUGGAGAUUUGAGAUUUGGAUACGAGGUUUGUGUUUGGAUGAUGUUGAGCGAAUUUUCGAGGACGAAAAUAUUCUAAGUGGGGGAGAGUUGUAACACCCCGAAUUUAAUUAAAUUGGUUAAUUAAAUUAUUGAAGGAUUUAAAUACUUGAUUUAGUCGAAUUUGGAUUGUCGGUGUUAUUUAAGGGCGUAUUUGGAAUUAUAUAAAUUGAAGUCGAAUAGUCGGAAAAUAAUAUUGAGAAUAAUAUUAUUUAUAAGUCGGAAUUAUUAUAUUGAAGGAAUUAUUAUUAUAAGUGAUAUAAUUGAUUAUUUGAGUUAUAUCUCUUAUUGGGCCUAAAUUGAUUUUGGAGGAUAUUAAAUAAAGAGAGGAUUUAAACACUAAGCCCAAUUGGUUUUAUAUUAGGGUUUUAGAGAUGAGAAAGAGUUGUGUUGUCAUUUUGGGAGAAAACAAGAUUUGAAGAGAAAGAGGCAAGACUAUGGAGAAGAAGAAGGGACUUGAAGAUUUUCAUCCAUGGUGUCAAUUAAAGAUGCAAUUAGAGACCCAUUGAGUGCUUCCAUUGAAUAAGGUAAGGGUGGGGUUCUCUUUCUAUAAUGGGGCUUAUGAAAUAUUGUAUGGGGGGAUUGGAUGUGUAGAUUAUUACUUUUGCUUGUUUAAAUCGUUGCUAGAAAACCAAAUAUUGUAUGAAUUUGGGUUGCUGUCUUGAAAUCUAUUAUUGUUGCUGUUUGAAAUUUGCCGUCGGUAUCUUUAGAAAUUAACACGGUGUUGAUAUUAUGCGAAACAAGUCAUAACGGACGGUAUUGAAAUCUCAUGACGUGCAGCAUUGUUCAAUGGGAGAGGGGUUGCCGAGCGACCCCAUUAGGCUACAUCGUUUGAUGCAAUUCUCAACAUAUGGGUGUUGCAUAAUAUUUUCUUGUUGUGCACUUUUUCUUCUGUUUUUCUUUUGUUUCAUUGUUCAUCAUAAUACUUUAUUAUUAACAUAUAUAUAUAUAAUAUUUACAUAAUGGUAUAAACUUGACAUGAGAUAUACCACUUAUGCAUACCAUUUCCGUUUUGUGCCAUUCCAUUGCGUGUUGCAAUGCUAUUUACGUUUCUGUUUUUGUAAUUGUGUUCCAUUGUUUAUUUUUUUAUGUUUCCUACUGUUAAUUGAGAUAAAUAUAUAUAGAAUGGUAUGAUACAAAGAAAAUGAAUUUAAUUAUGAAAUAGCAUAGGUUAGAAACAUUGAGAUAAAAUAUAUAUAGAAUGGUAUGAUAUAAGGAAAAUGAAUUUAAUUAGGAAAUCAUAUAUGUUAGAAACAGUAAGUAACAGUUAUUUAUAGGACUAAUAAAAUAUAAAACAGUCUCGUUUGAUUGAAAUAGCCGAAUUAAGCGGUAUAAUUAGUUGCCCGAAAUUUGAUGAAAAUUGACGUGGUAGCUAAGUUUAAUUAGUAGAUUAACAUGGUGGUGUUAUUUUGUUGAAAUUAUGAUAUUUUACGAAUCUACUGAAAUUGUGUUUGAUUUAAAUAUUCUUUAUAAAUAAAUUAUAAUAAUUUAAUAGAAUUGUCAAUAGAGUUGUUAGAGUUGUCAAUAGAGUUGUUAGAGUCGACAAUAAGUUGUCAGAGUUGUUUUGAAUUAUUAAGAGUCAUAUUUUUAUUUGUUUUGAGUAAUUCUGACAUGUUUAGAGUUGUCAGUGUAUAACGUCGGUGUUUGUUUUUUUAUUGGAACUUUAACAAUUCAUAUCUUUUGAACCGUAACUCCGUUUGAGUCUCCGUUCGAGGCGUUAGAAAGCUAGCGUGAUAUUCUUUUUAAUAAAAAUGGUCUUGAGCAAUAGAAUGCUAGAAAAUUGGAAAUGGAGUAGAAAUAGAAGUGAAUUAAAUUAAUAUAGUGUGAUUAUUAAUCGGUUGAUUAAAUUAAUAGUUGAGUUAAUUUCAAUGUGUUUAAUUGAUUAGAAUACAAUUUGGAAUUAGAUCAACUAUUUGGUUUGUCGGUAAAUUACGAUAUUUUGAGAAUUUAUCCGUAAUUGUGUUUUGACUUGAAUAUGUAUGUUGAGAAAUAUAUAUUAUUAUGUCAAUGAUGUUGUUUUGAUAUUGAUUCUCUGUGGGUAGUUGGAUAGCAUUAAUUUUAAUGAUUAAUUGCUUGAUUUUAAAUGUGUAUGUUCAUAUAUAAUUGGCAAAAUGAGAAUUAACAUGAGAUAGUACGGUUACUAGUGUUAAUUGGAUUUUGUGAAUCGUAAUUGAUUAAUUGGCCUUUUAUAUGUGAAUCAUAUGUAUGUGUUGUGAAUGUUGUGUACAAUUGGUGGAUAAUUCAUCGAGUUGAAUUAUUGUGAUAUGCUAAAUAUUAAGAUGGUAGAGAUGAUCUUAAUUGCAUAUGUUUGUCAACAUUGUACAUGCAUUCAUGUCAUGGUGUGCCUUGAAACAAAGGUGGUUUGCUUUGAAACAAAAGCGGGGCUUGAAUUCUAGAGUGAAUUCGGAAAGCGGUAAACUAUAUGUUUAUAUUUGGUGGCUUUGAUCUUGUCCGGAUCUGAAGCGUGGCUAGAUUCUAUAUGAAUCGGAAGCGGUGGAACUUUGGGUCCACAUUGGGUACCACAUGCAUAGAGUCACAUGUCUUGCAUUGAGUCACAUUGAGAUUAUGUGAUGUUUGAAUAUAUGCAUUUAUGUGAUUGUUAUAUGUACAUGAGAGGUGAUAAUUGAAAUUGGUGAUGUUUUGAUACAUAAUUGGUUAAAUGUGUGAGUAUGUGAUAAUGAUGGAUGGUGUAUAUAUUUGGGAUAAUAGUAUUGAAUCUUUUGAGUAUCAUACUAUUGAAUUUUGUGCAUACUUGAAUAUGUGAAAUUUAUUGGAUGAUACUAUUUAUAUGAUUAUGACUUGUUGUGUCAUGAAAAGUAUGUGAGACUAAUGAAGAGUAGAAGUAUGAUGUGUAUAGUAGCUAUUGAUACUUGCAAUGUGAUAAUCUUAUAUAUCUGAAUCCUAGCAUGCACUUUAUCAUACGCCCACUUAUAUGAUUUGAUAUCUCACCCUUUUCUCUUGUUUCGCCGUUGCCUUUAUAUUGGCAACGUGCAGGUAUUCAAGUAUGAAGAUUUAGUUGCCGUUACUCGAGUCGGUCGUCGCUCUGAUACGUAGCACUCUAGGGGGAACGAUUUAUGUCAUUCAUGAUGUUGUUGUUUAAUUGUGUUAUCUUGGUUGAACAAAAUGAUAAGUUAACUGAAGAUAUUUUAUUGAAUACUUGUUUAAGUGAUUACGCUGUGUUUUAAUAAAAUAAGUUAUUCUGUUUCAAAGGUGCUAUGUAUCCGCUUUAUGCGACGAGUUGAUUUGUUUUGUUUUAUUAUGUGACGCCUCAUUUGUUUAUUGGAAAAUUUGGAAAACUCUGAUUUAUAUAUAUUUUUCGGGUAGAAAUGGGGUGUU